rnacentral:rRNA from 1 species
GAUGAACGCUGGCGGCGUGCUUAACACAUGCAAGUCGAACGGAAAGGCUCCUGCUUGCAGGGGUACUCGAGUGGCGAACGGGUGAGUAACACGUGGGUGAUCUGCUCUGCACUUCGGGAUAAGCCUGGGAAACUGGGCCUAAUACCGGAUAGGACGAUGGUUUGGAUGCCAUUGUGGAAAGUUUUUUCGGUGUGGGAUGAGCUCGCGGCCUAUCAGCUUGUUGGUGGGGUAAUGGCCUACCAAGACGUCGACGGGUAGCCGACCUGAGAGGGUGUACGGCGACAUUGGGACUGAGAUACGGCCCAGACUCCUACGGGAGACAGCAGUGGCGAGUAUUGCACAAUGGGCGCAAGCCUGAUGCAGAGACGCCGGGUGGGGGAUGACGGCCUUCGGGUUGUAAACUCCUUUAGCUAGGGACGAAGCGCAAGUGACGGUACCUGGAGAAGAAGCACCGGCUAACUACGUG